AGUAUUUAUCGGAUCGAGGCUAAAAGUCCCUCCAAUUUUUUUAUCUCUCGCUCUCAGAUUUACACUAAUUUCGGUCCAAGAUCAAGCUCCAAAAAUCCCCCCGCCCACCAAAAUUUAACUACCUCAGAGUUGGGUCUUAAAACUUAUCACUCUCAAAUUUUCAACAAAUCGAGAUCCAAAAAUUCCCCCUUUUUUUUCAUCUCCCGCUCCAAAAAUUUCACCAAAAUCUACUUUAAAAUUCUCAAAGGUUUCUCGUAUGAAAGAGGAUUUCAGCAAUUGUUCUUAUUGUCUCUGAAAAAGAAGUUCUUUUUUUUGUUAAGAUGGAAACAACUGCAACCUCUAACGGUGCACCUACACCAGUAUUCCCAUCUCAAACUGUUGAAACUCUGGUAAAUGCUCGCACUACUCAAACUGCUCCAAAGCUGAUGGUGGAAAUGGAUGUAAGUGACAGACUUGAAGGUCCUGAUCCACAGUACUUUGCUACUUGUACCGGAGAACUUGUCCGAACGCAUUAUCAUGUGUCGUACCUGGAUUGGAGGGGAGUUCCGAAGAUCUUGAAAGGUUAUUGUUAAAAGGAAUCCCGCUUCUCAGACUGAAAAUGAACAAUCCGUCUGCUCUGGAUGCCCGGUAGUAACGUGCAUCUGGAACUCUGUAAGACAGCGAUUUCGAAUGUGGGACAUGCCGGCGAGGUACAUUUUCUAUCCGGUUGAAAUGUGGUUUGCUGCUUCAGAGUUUUAUAAUUAGGUGACUACAACAAGGUUAUGAUUUAGGAUCAGAGUGACCUGAAAAUGCAGAAUAUUCUCAUGAUCGGGAUGACCUAAAACUGCAGAAUAUCCGUCGCUUCAGGAUGAACUUGUUACUCAAGGACUGAAGUUUGUAAAUUAUAUUGAUGGUUAGAGGAAUUAAUGAACUUUGCUCUCAGAUCAGGUGGAUUGAUUCUGAGGCUUCUGCGGGUGGUUCUCACAAUUGAGCUAUUCAACACGCUUUCACUGUUUCUGCUCUUUGAUGAAGAUAUUAACUUUGCAUCUCACGCUUACUUGGUAGAAUCUUUAUCAACUUUUCACAUUUUUUUAUGCAACUAUCAUGAUGUUUGAAUGGUUUCUAGUAAUUCUGUUCACCCAUUCUACCAUCAUGGUCACCAAUCUGCUAUUACUGAAGUUGAUAGUUGUGGUUUUGUCACUGAUCUGUGAAUUUGCCGACUGGUUGUAGUAGUGGAAUUGGAAUUCUGAUGUAGUGUUUACUCAUUAUUAUAGUAUUCUUAUAGGAAAAUUUUGUUGUUAUAAAACAGUGGCAUGACAAUUACAAAAACAAAAGAAUAGAAUUAGCCAAUCGGGACAGAACUGAUUCCAUCUCGACCUCUAUAUUCCAAACUUUAUCUAGUUAAGUUUUGACUUUCAUGGUUGUAGUUGUUGUGACGUUCUUAGUUAAAUCCAAAGGCCAUAAAUAGGCAUAAGAGCUAUCGUCUUGCACAAUUCUCUUCGUCUCGUGGCUGGUUUCCAGAUUGUUUUUGUACCAGAUCUUCGUUUUGUUGUACUGUAGUUCAAUUCCCCACAAAGAGAUGGUAUGUCAUAAACUUGCAGAUCGAAAGCAAGAUGAUAAUAUGGAUGAAUAUGAGAGUUCCGGUUGAGUGCUUCCUUAUAACGUCGUAGCUGCUGAAGCACUAGAAACUGGUCCUUCAGAUGCAGCCGCAUCUGCGGUAUUACUUUAUUGACCAUAGUCCUCAUUGAAUACCAUUUCUAAGUUUGAUUAUGAAAGAUAUAUUCUUCUUCUGAACUCUAUACUCAUCUAAGUUUGAUUAUGAAAGAUAUAUUCUUCUUCUGAACUCUAUACUCAUGACGGAUUUGUUGAUGGUUUUGUUUCAAUUUAUAUAAAUUAUUCUUUGAGGAGUGAAAAAAAUCCUUUCAGCUGUUACCUCAGUUUUUUAGGAUGAGGUUGAUAGGAAUCACUCUGCAACAAAAAGCAUUUUGCAAAAUAUUUGUUGUAUGCUUUACUCUUAAUCUUAUUCUUAUAUUUUGAGAAUAUUUGUUUGCAGUUUUCUUCAUUUUAGCUUUUUGUUUACUUGGUUUGGGUCGUGCUUCCAGGCAUUGCUAUGGAUUUUGGUGUUAGAAGUACUUCUCGUCCAACUGUUGAACUCGCUGGCCCUCUUUAAUUAUUGAUUCAAAUUUCAAAGGUCCGAAUAUGUCUACGCUGAUAAACACCUGGAACUUGAUUUAUUUUUUAAUCUUGAGAAGUACAUGUUCAAAUAUGUCUACUCUGAUAAACACCUGGAACUUGAUUUAUUUUUUAAUCUUGAGAAGUACAUGUUCUGAUGAUUCACGGGGCUUGGGAUGGCACUUAUAGCAUGUUCUGAUGCACAUGUUCGUAUUUUGUAAUCAUUGAGUUUAUACUUUGUUUUGGAUAUUUUUUCACCAUUGGAAAUUCAUGUUUAAGAUCAAUUUUUAUUUUUA